rnacentral:rRNA from 1 species
GAGUUUGAUCGUGGCUCAGAUUGAACGCUGGCGGCAUGCCUUACACAUGCAAGUCGAACGGCAGCAUGAUCUAGCUUGCUAGAUUGAUGGCGAGUGGCGAACGGGUGAGUAAUACAUCGGAACGUGCCCUGUAGUGGGGGAUAACUAGUCGAAAGAUUAGCUAAUACCGCAUACGACCUGAGGGUGAAAGUGGGGGACCGCAAGGCCUCAUGCUAUAGGAGCGGCCGAUGUCUGAUUAGCUAGUUGGUGGGGUAAAGGCCCACCAAGGCGACGAUCAGUAGCUGGUCUGAGAGGACGAUCAGCCACACUGGGACUGAGACACGGCCCAGACUCCUACGGGAGGCAGCAGUGGGGAAUUUGGACAAUGGGCGAAAGCCUGAUCCAGCAAUGCCGCGUGUGUGAAGAAGGCCUCGGUUGUAAG